rnacentral:tRNA from 1 species
AGGGGCUUAGGCUAACACUAAGACCAUGGCCCUUCAAAGACCAAAGCGGGAGUGAAAAUCUCUCAGCCCCUG